rnacentral:rRNA from 1 species
AUGGCCAGUCGUUGCCUCGCCGGUGAACCGCGGUGGUGCGACGAGAGGGAUCAAGCUCUCUUUGCCUCGGCCACCUUGGUCACCGUCCGAAGCGGCGCAACGGCCUCUUUCUGGCGAUGCCACUGGCUGGGAGAGCCGCCUCUCUAUCUCGCAUAUCCGGACCUAUUUAAACACUCCUCCCGGAAGAACAGGACGGUCAUGGAUGCUCUUCAAGGGGAGAAGUGGAUUCAAGACCUGCGGCACGGCAACCUCACCGACAUCCUUCCUCAGUUUGUGCACUUGCAGCGCGCGAUCCGGUUGGCUGGGAUUAUAUUGGAAGAUGGUGCACUGGACGAGAUCAAGUGGACAGCAGGUGGAGGAGCAGAGUACUCAGCGAGCUCGGCCUACGACCUACAGUUUGCUAAUCGCCCUGCGACGAACCUCCAGGCGAUCGUUUGGAAAGCCUGGGCCCCAGGGAAGAUGAAAUUCUUCAGUUGGCUGCUGCACCAUGAUCGCCUUUGGUGCAAUGAUAGAAACCUUGAGUCCUCCGUCCACCUCUUCUGGGAAUGGUCGUUUUCGAGAGCAGUAUGGAGUCAGGUGGCAAUAUGGAGUGGCUGCGCUGCGCUGAACCCAAGCAGCCAGACGCGCGGCCGUGCGACCAUGCAAAUCGUCCAAGACUUGCUCGCCGGGAUAACGCCAAGGACAGCGAAAGGGCUGAGAGAUGACUGCAGCAGCAUCAGACUGUUGAUGGCCUCACUGCUCUCCUGGCUCGCCUGUGACCAGUGA